rnacentral:rRNA from 1 species
GGGGAAUAUUGGACAAUGGGCGCAAGCCUGAUCCAGCCAUGCCGCGUGAGUGAUGAAGGCCUUAGGGUUGUAAAGCUCUUUUGGCGGGGACGAUAAUGACGGUACCCGCAGAAUAAGUCCCGGCUAACUUCGUGCCAGCAGCCGCGGUAAUACGAAGGGGACUAGCGUUGUUCGGAAUCACUGGGCGUAAAGCGCACGUAGGCGGAUUUGUAAGUCAGGGGUGAAAUCCCGGGGCUCAACCUCGGAACUGCCUUUGAUACUGCGAAUCUCGAGUCCGAUAGAGGUGGGUGGAAUUCCUAGUGUAGAGGUGAAAUUCGUAGAUAUUAGGAAGAACACCGGUGGCGAAGGCGGCCCACUGGAUCGGUACUGACGCUGAGGUGCGAAAGCGUGGGGAGCAAAC